UCGUUACCUACGAUUCAGAGACGAGCAAAGAGAAGAAAUGCAACGAAUAGCACGAUCAUCGAAGCAAUGUCAUUCGUGAAAAUUAGCGAUUCGAUGUUCGAGCCUCGAAAAUGCAGUAAACGACUGUAGGUUUAAAGCUGAACGUGUAGGCAACACGGGCGAAUAUUUUCAUCAUGGAAAAAUUAACGCAGUCAAAGAACGUGCCUCCAAGUGAAAAGUACUUGGCCAAUUUGGACACGGGGGUGCACAUCAGCCGAGGCGCGUGCGUGGGACAGGCGUGCAGGCAAGAAAGCAAGCAAGCAAGCGAUCAGACCAACCAACCAACCAGGCAUCUCAGUCUCUUCGGUGUCCCCGGGUGCACAUGUGUGCAGGGCAUGAGGUCGCUCUCCUCGUCGUUCGAUGUGUGAGAGCUCGACUGCCCUCUCCCCCGCAGCAGUGGCAAAGCGACGUUGCCGAUUGUUCGAUGCUUGGGCGGGCGGUGAUGCCGGUAUGCGUGUGGCAGGGCGCGGCGUUGCCAUAUCGACCGUGCCUCAUCACCGGGGAGCGAACGAGCCAACCUCGCUAACCUCCCUCCCUCCCACCUCCUUCUUCCUCGACCUCCUCGCACCGUCUUUCUCGGUUUUACAUUCUCUUUUUUUCAUUUCCCGCCUCUCUUUUCCUCUUCUUUCAACCUUUCUUUUCGACUCCUUUCUCUUUAAGGUAGAUUCAUAUUAACCGUUCAGACACGGAACGGUUACGUUCAAGCAAGGCAGCAGAGUUUCUGACUCUGAAUUUAUCGGAGUUUAGUAAGACGGUAUAUAGCAUACGGGUUAAUAAUCGAGAUUCCUUCCCUUGUAAAUCUACUAGUUUUGAGUAGUAGGUAAUCUGAAUUUAUCAAGGAGGAGACGCAAAGUGCCGCGCCGCGCCGCGCGGCACCUGACUGACUCAGCAUUACCGACUUCGUCGUGGAUUCCUCGCACGCUACACGCACUGUGUAUAGCGAGCAGACCAAUGCCAGACUACGGUGCGUGCCCAUUUGACGGCCGCCGAAGACUCUCCUCCGUACCCAACAGCAGCCAGUCGCGCCCUUGAACAAGCCGGACACUUGCAAACGUACCGCUUUCCCUCCGUCUCUUUUUCUUUUCACGUAUCUUUACUCUCCGCGAAGAGAUUCUCGCUCUUUCUUCCGAGGGCUCUUUCCUUUUUCCUCCUACCCCUCCAACGCGUCUGUCGCCCCUUCUCUUUUCUUUUUCUUGCCGGAACCGGUAGGAGCGUGAUGUUCCGCCACUGCUUCUUUGACAAGACGUUACGCGAAGAAAAUCUCCAGUUUUACCAUUUAUUUUCCGCCUAGUCUACGCCUAUGUUUUUUAACUGGUUGCUGACUCGACCCUCCAACGUGACUGUUACCACAGUCACAGAUAUACCGCGACGAGAAAUUCGCUUUGACGAGGCAUUGCUAAUUUUUUAUUGGCAUUAGGAAAUUGGUGGGUUAAACUUUCCCACAUGUGGUGUUAACCCCUUUUCCCUACUACGAAUAACGGACAAAUGCUUUUCUUUUUUUAUUCUCGAUAAUAUAACGCACCGAAAGACGAUCGUUCGGAUGGAUUAAUUUUCUAGCUAAUCGAGGGUUUUGAAAUCGGAGCUUAAGAUAAAAUAUUUAUAUUAGCUGCGAACCCUGCAAGACUGACGAACUCAGCGUGCUUGGUAUGCAACUACACCGUGAACGAACGUACAAGCAGCCGAAACUUAUACCUCGAAUAUUUCAGUACUCUUAACUUAAACAGCCACUCAUAAACGUAUCCCAUUUUCCAACCCCCGUAAAUAUGGUAAAUAUUAACAAUACCGCAUUCCUGACUAUCCAUUCAAUUUUUAUUUAUCAAUUAUUUCUCACUCGUAAAGUGGAUAUUAAAUAAAUCUUUCUUUAUAGUA